CUACCCCCCAUAUUCCGCCCCCCAAAACCCCUCUGCCUCCGGACCCCCAGGGCGCUGCCGGCACCCCCCACACCGACUAUUGUCUCCCACCCGCACUCUGUCCUCCGCGCACUUCUUUGCACCCCAGUCUCGCGGCAGUUGUUUUCACUUGGAAUUUGCAGUCUAAAAAUGUUUUAAUUUCUAUCCCUUUUCGGGGUUUCUCUGUUAUUUAAUUUUUCGCUGCUGCCAGAGAAAAACAGACUAGGCGGGGCGCGCGGGAACGAAGGGCGGGGUGAGGAUGGGGCGGGGAGAAUGCGAAUCAGAGGCGUGGCCACACAAUAGCGCACCAGAGAGCAAGAACGGGCCGCUGGGGGGUUCCCCCGGGAGGGCCUUUGCGGUGCUGCUGGGGGGCAAGGGGUUCCUGAGACAGUCAUGUCCGCGCCGGAUGGCGUGAGCGGCGCCGAAAGCUUUGGCUGGCCCUGGACACGCGGCAGUACCCCGGGAGGGUGGGUUACAGCUCGGGGUCACCGCCUGGAGCAGGGGGAGCCGUGCCUUCUCCCUCCCCAGCGCCCGUUUCGUCAGUUUCUUCUGCCGUAGCCUUCUCUACUCUCCCUCCUUUCUUGUUCUGGCCUGGCGUUGCUGCAGGGCCUGCAGUUAUGAAGCCGAGGUAGGUCGGAGAGGUGGUGGCCGCAUGUAUCUGUGUCUGGACGGGCUCCUCCUGCGGGGAAGAACGUAGCGUCGGGCCGACACGCUGGCCUUGCUGUUGGGAGUGUGGGGAUUUGUCUCCUCCUGUAGCGGGAGAUGCCGUCCGGCCACCGCAGUCAGCACGUUUGAAGCGGCGGAAGGACUGUCAGCGGCUGGGAGACGGACGUGGGGCUACGUAUAGGACAAGAGAAGCGGGCUAAGGAAAAACCCUGGUGUGCUGCUGCGAGCGGCGGAAAGCUGGGGCCAGGGCGAGGAGACGGGCGUCACGACUCAGAGGCGCUGCCGUUGGCCAGCAGAGCAAGCCGGGAGCGUUAGCCUUCUGGCACCAGGCUGGUGGGCGGUGAUGAUCGUUUUCGGGACUUCCGGCGGUCCCCACGGCAGGGGCGCUUUCCUGCUGUCCGUCCGUCCCUGUUUUUUUUUUUGUGUGUGUUUCCCGCCCCCCCCGCUCCGGCCCGGAUUCCCGCGAAACGCGGCACUGCCGCUCGCCCGGGGCUGCCGCGGCGGGUCUCAGUGCUGCCGUCCUGUGGGUAAAGCGCGGUGCUGCACCCGGCCGCCCCAAUGCGGUGCCGCGGCAGGUCUCAGUGCUGCCGCCAUGUGGCGAAACUCGGGUACUGCAGCGCACGGCAAGCAAGGAAAAUCAAAGAUAAGGGUUUUUCUGGUGUAGGUAAACAUGCGCACAGCUUUUUAGUAUAAAGUGAAUUACCGAGGUUUGUUCUUUGCUUUUUAACUUCACUCUUUGAAGCUGCACGCUUUCAGCUUUACUGACUGAGCCGGGCACGCUGACAGCGAUUGCUGAACGAGUUGGGAUUUUUUACUGUGUCCAGCCUUGUAUGUGUGGUCUCUUUUCACUUGCAGGUUGGACUUAGGGUUGAAAUAGAAGUUCCCUUAUUUAAAAAUACCCCAACACGUCCCCUGACCCACAAAAAAAAUAACGGCCCAAAAACCCAGCCAGGGAUGUUGUUUAAUUUCCUUCAGCUUUUUUUCCCUUUCCCUGGUGUACACAGUGCAGUGAAUGCCCAGGGGAGAUGACCAGGAUCUGACUGUUGGAGGGUGUGUGGAGCUGAAGUCGAGGGUCAGUGCAGAGCACAUCGGGCACUGGAGCAGGUGAAUGUAACUGGUUUGUGUCUGGGCUUGUAAAUUCUUCUCAGAGGCUUCCCAGUUUCUGGUGUCGCCUUGGGGUGAAGUGUUAUUCUGUGUGCAGCUUUGGAAGCUGAAGCUCCACUGCAAUCUACAGAGCUCCCUCAUUUUCCACCAGAACUUCAAAUCACAGAGAUGAUGUUGCUGUGAAGCUGCUCAGGACAGCAUGUGUUUUGUGUACAAUAAAAUUAUUCCUUCUGUGUGUGUUCUUCCUGUGAACUAAAGCUGAGCUGCCCGUCUUCCAGUUCCACACGUGUGUGUUCCUGAGCUGCCUGUGUUCCAGUUCAUGCCCACUGUGAUGAGUCUCCUCCCCACACUCAUUGGUUCUGUCUCAUCACUGUUGCGGAUCCAGCACCGACAGUCUUGGGGGUUUGUCCUGGAUGUUCCAGGUCCAUGGGUUCUAUUAUUUUAAUUUCAACUAAAUACUUACUGUAAAGCAUGCAGAAAAAAAACCUUAAAUAACCGUAACUAGAGGAGUCUUUGGGAGUAAAUAAUGCCUAUAAUCUACUCCAGCUAUUACUUAAAACUCUGCAGACACUAAUGACACCUGAUUUUUACAGUAAAACUAAAAAUAGUGGAAUAUAAAUACUGGAGCACUAGUUGGAAGUAAUACCUGUAGAGAAAAAACUCUAGGUUACAUUAAAAAAAAAAUGAUGUGUGCUAGUAAAUCCACUUAGUAUUAAUGUAAUGACAAAAAUGUUAAAGUGUAAAUAAAUGAAAUUAUUCCCAAUAUAACAUUAAAAGAUUUAAUGUAAAAUAAAAUUAGAAAACAGUGAGCCAUGACUGUUUAAAUUUAAACACAGCUUUUUUUUGGGGGGGUUAGGGUUAGGGAUAGGGUUAGGGUUAGGAUUCGGGUUGUGUUAGAGUUAGCGUUAGGGUUAGGCUUGGGUUCGGGUGAGGUUUAGGGUUAUGGUUAAGCUUAGGUCACGGUUAGGGUCAGGGUUAGGAUUCGGGUUGUUUUAGGGUUAGAGUUAGCGUUAGGGUUAGGCUUAGGUUAGGGUUAGGUUGAGGUUUAGGGUUAUGGUUAAUCUAAUUUUGGGUUAGGGUCAGGGAUAUGGUCAGGGUCAGCGUUAGGUUAGGGUUAGGGUUAAGGUCAUUGUUAGGAUUCGGGUUGUUUUAGGGUUAGACUUAGCAUUAGGAUUAGGCCUAGGUUAGGAAUGGGUUGAGGUUUAGGGUUAUGCUUAAACUUAAGUUAGGGUUAGGGUCGGGGUAGGUUAGGGUUAGGGUUGGUUGAGGGUUAGAGUUAGGAUUAGUGUUACGAUCAGGUUAGUGUUAGGGUGAGGUUUACGGUUACUGUUAACCUUUGGUUAGGGUCACUGUUAUGGUUAGGGUUAGGGUUAAGGCUAGGGUUAGGGUUAGGAUUACGGUUAGGGUUAGGAUUAGGGUUGGUUUAGGGUUAGGGUUAGGCGUAGGUUACGGUUAUGGUGAGGUUUAGGGUUAUGGUUAAACUUAAGUUAGUUUUAGGGUCAGGGUUACGGUCAGGGUCAGGGUUAGGUUACGGUUAUGUUUAGGGUUAGGAUUAGUGUUGGUUUAGGUUUAGACUUAGUGUUAGGGUUAGGCUUAGGUUACGGUUAUGGUGAGGUUGAGGGUUAUGGUUAAACAUAUGUUAGGGUUAUGGUCAGGGUCAGGUAAGGGUUAGGGGUAGGGUUAGGGUUAGGAUUCGGGUUGUUUUAGGGGUAGACUUAGCAUUAGGAUUAGGCCUAUGUUAGGGUUAGGUUGAGGUUUAGGGCUAUGGCUAAACUUAAGUUAGGGUCAGGGUUAGGGUUAUGGUCAGGGUCAGCGUUAGGUUAGGGUUAGGAUUACGGUUAGGGUUAGGAUUGGGGUUGAUUUAGGGUUAGAAUGAGCCUUAGGGCAAGGUUAUGGUGAGGUUUAGGGCUAUGGUUAAACAUAUAUUAGGGUUAUGGUCUGCAUUAUGGUCAGGUUCAGGGUCAGGUUAGGGUUACGGUUAGGGUUAGGAUUUGGGUAGUUUUAGGGUUAGACUUAGCAUUAGAAUUAGGCCUAGGUUAGGGAUAGGUUGAGGUUUAGGGUGAUGGCUAAACUUAAGUUAGGGUCAGGGUUAGGUUGGGUUAGGGUUAGGGUUAAGGUUGGUUGAGGGUUAGAGUUAGGGUUAGUGUUAUGAUUAGGUUAGUGUUAGGGUGAGGUUUAGGGUAACUGUUAACCUUAGGUUAGGGUUAGGGCUAGGGUGAGGGUUAGGAUUACGGUAAGGGUUAUGAUUAGGGUUGGCUUAGGGUUAGACUUAGCCUUAGGGUUACGCUUAGGUUACGGUUAUGGUGAGGUUUAGGGUUAUGGUUAAAUAUAUGUGAGGGUUAUAGUCAAAGUUCGGUACAGGGUCAUGGUCCGGUUAGGGGUAGGGUUAGGGUUAGGAUUCGGGUUGUUUUAGGGUUAGACUUACCAUUAUGAUUAGGCCUAGGUUAGGGGUAGGUUGAGGUUUAGGGUUAUGGUUAAACUUAUUCAGUGUUAGGGUCAGGGUUAUGGUCAGGGUUGGGUUAGGGAUGGGGUUAGGGUUAUGGUUGGUUGAGGGUUAGAGUUAGGGUUAGUGUUAUGAUUAGGUUAGUGUUAGGGUGAGGUUUACGGUUACUGUUAACCUUAGGUUAGGGUUAGGGUCACUGUAUGGUGAAGGUCAGGGUUAGGUUAGGGUUAGGGUUACGUUUAGGGCUAGGGUUAGUGCUAGUUUAGAUUAGACUUAGCAUUAGGGUUAGGCUUAGGUUAUGCUUAUGGCGAGGUUUAGGGUUAUGGUUAAACAUAUGUUAGGGUUAUUUUCAGCAUUAUGGUGAGGGUCAGGGUGGGGUUAGGGGUAGGGUUAGGGUUAUGGUUGGUUGAGGGUUAGAGUUAGGGUUAGUGUUACGAUUAGGUUAGUGUUAGGAUGAAGUUUACGGCUAUUGUUAACCUUAGGUUAGGGUUAGGGUCACCAUUAUGGCCAGGGUCAGGGUUAGGUUGGGGUUAGGUUAGGGUUAUGGUUAGGGUUAGGGUUAGGGUUAGGAUUACAGUUAGGGUUAGGAUUAGGGUUGGUUUAGGGUUAGGCUUAGGUUACGGUUAUGGUGAGGUUUAGGGUUAUGGUUAAAAUUAAGUUAGGUUUAAGGUCAGGGUUAUGGUCAGGGUUAGGGUUAGGGUUACGUUUAGGGUUAGGAUUAGUGUUGGUUUACAUUUAGACUUAGCGGUAUUGUUAGGCUUAGGUUACGGUUAUGGUGAGGUUUAGGGCUAUGGUUAAGCAUAUUUUAGGGUUAUGGUCAACGUUAUGGUCAGGUUCAGAGGCAGGUUAGGGUUCGGGUGAGGGUUAUGGUUAGGGUUAGGAUUAGGGUUCGGGUUGUUUUAGGGUUAGACGUAGCAUUAUGAUUAGGCCUAGGUUAGGGUUAAGUUGAGGGUCAGGGUUAUGGUUAAACUUAAAUUAGGGUUAGGGUCAGGGUUAUGGUUAGGGUUAGGGUGAGGGUUAGGUUUAGGGUUAUGGUUGGUUGAGGGUUAGAGUUAGGGUUCGUGUUAUGAUUAGGUUAGUGUUAGGAUGAAGUUUACGGUUAUUGUUAACCUUAGCUUAGGGUUAGGAUCACCAUUAUGGCCAGGGUCAGGGUUAGGUUGGGGUUAGGUUAGGGUUAUGGUUAGGGCUAGGGUUAGGGUUAGGAUUACGGUUAGGGUUAGGAUUAGGGUUGGUUUAGGGUUAGGGUUAGGCUUAGGUUACAGUUAUUCUGAGGUUUAGGGCUAUGGUUAAACAUAUGUUAGGGUUAUGGUCAGCGUUAUGGUAAGGGUCAGGCUCAGGUUAGGGUUAGGGUCUGGGUUAGUGUUAUGGUUAGGGUUAGGAUUACAAUUAGGGUUAGGAUUACAGUUGAGGGUUAGGUUUAGACUUAGUGUCAGGGUUAGGCUUAGGUUACGGUUAUGGUGAGGUUUAGGGUUAUGAUUAAAGAUAUGUUAGGGUUGUGGCGAUUGUUAUGGUCAGGGUCAGGUUAGGGUUAGGGUUAGGAUUACGGUUACGGUUAGGGUUAGGAGUAGGUUUAGGAUUAAGUUUAGGGUUAGGAGUAGGGUUGGUUUAGGGUUAGACGUAGCAUUAGGGUUAGGCUUAGGUUAAGGUUAUGCUGAGGUUUAUGGUUAUGGGUAAACUUAAGUUUGGUUUACGGUCAGGGUUACGGUCAGGGUCAGGGCUAGUUUAGGGUUAGGGUUAGGAUUAGGGUUAGGGUUAGGAAUAGGGUUAAGGUUACAAUUAGGGUAAGGAUUAGGGUUGGUUUAGGGUUAGACGUAGCAUUAGGGUUAGGCUUAGGUUUCGGUAAUGGUGAGGUUUAUGGUUAUGGUUAAACUUAAGUUAGGUUUAGGGUCAGGGUUACGGUCAGGGUCAGGGCUAGGUUAGGGUUAGGGUUAGGAUUACGGUUAGGGUUAGGUUUAGGUUUGGUUUAGGGUUAGACGUAGUGUUAGGGUUAGGCUUAGGUUAUGGGUAUGCUGAGGUUUAGGGAUAUAGUUAAACUUAUGUUAGGUUUAGGGUCAGGGCUAAGGUCAGGGUCAGGGCUAGGUUAGGGUUAGUGUUAGGGUUAGGGUUAGGGUUAGGAUCACCUUUUGGGUUAGGAUUAGGGUUUGCUUAUGGUUAGAAGUAGCGUUAGGGUUAGGCUUAGGUUACGGGUAUGCUGAGGUUUAGGGAUAUGGUUAAACUUGUGUUAGGUUUAGGGUCAGGGUUUCAGUCAGGGUCAGGGCUCGGUUAGGGUUAGGGUUAGGAUUACGGUUAGGGUUAGGAUUAAGGUUGGUUUAGGUUUAGACUUAGUGUUAGGGUUAGGUUUAGGUUACGGUUAUGGUGAGCUUUAGUGUUAUGGUUAAAUGCAGGUUUAGGGUCAGGGUUACGGUCAGGGUCAGGGCUAGGUUAGGAUUAGCGUUAGGGUUAAGGUUAGGGUUAGGAUCACUUUUUGUGUUAGGAUUUGGGGAUGUUUAUGGUUAGAAGUAGCGUUAGGGUUAGGCUUAGGUUACGGUUAUGCUGAGGUUUAUGGUUAUGGGGACCGGGACCGGGAGCUGAACGGGAACGGGUGUCGGGGCGGCUGCGGAGCGCUCGCUGCGGCAGGCGCCCGGGCAUCUGGAGGCGGGCGGCUCAGGGCCGCCCUUCGUGAGGUUCCCCGGAGGCGGCAGAAGGGCCGAGGGGAAGGAGGCGACUGCCGGGGACCUCCCGCCCCGGGCGUCUCCGGGGCGCGGCGGCUGUCGGUGCCCGCGGAGCCCGGCGGGACGGCGGGGGAGCGCGAGGGGAACGGAGCGGCGAAAGAGGCGGCAGGUGAGUGCGGCAGCGGCGAGGGUGACCGUGCCGUUGGAACGGGGGGAGCGGGAGGGGCCGGCGCGGCGCGGAGGCGUUCGGUUCCGUUUCCACCCCCCGCCCUUACGGCCGAGCUGGCGAGGCUGGUGGGAGGCGUGCGACCCUGAGGGCAGGGGCGCUGAAGUCUUGCGGUCCGGAGCCGCGUCUCCCUCCGGCGCAGCGCCCGUGCCCGGUGCGGCAGCCCCUCCGGGAGCGGCGCAGCCCCCGUCGGUCACGGGGACGUUUAAAAGCAGAGCUAAGGCGCGGUUGCGGGCGGGCUGGGUGGCGUGGCGAGCGGGGCGCCGCUUCGGCGGGAGCUCGGGGCGAGGCCCGGCGGGUUCCGUGUCCUGGAGACGCUGCUUUCGCGCCGCGGCUCUCUGUGCCCCUUUUUGUUUUGUCGCGUUUGGUUUUUUGGGUUUUUUUGGUGGGAUUCCCGCGAAACGCGGCACGACCGCUCGCCCGGGGCUGCCGCGGCGGGUCUCAGUGCCGCCGUCCUGUGGGCAAAGCGCGGUACUGCACCCGGCCGCCCCAACGCGGUGCCGCGGCGCGCCUCGGUGCUGCCGCCCCGUGGAGAAACUCGGGUACUGCAGCGCACGGCCGGGGGCAGAGACGCUGAUUGAGCCGCAGGGGUUCGCCGUCAGGUCUCUGCGUGUCAGUGUCCGUCCCCCCGAACGGGGGUCAGGUCCCCAUUUGUGUAAAAACACCAUCCCUCCCUCGAUGCCUCCUUAGAACGUUUAAUGAUGUAAAUAUUGCUCCUACUAACGUUGUCGGCGCGGCUUCUUUCCUCAGUGGAUCUGUCUCGCAGUCAGUGGCCCACGAUUGCUCGGCAACAGCAGAAGCGGAUUGAAGGGACCGGCCGCUGGAGGAUGCCGAAGACUCCCGGGUCACCGAUGGGAACAGCUUUGCGUAAAGCGAGGGGUACGUGAAGCCGGGCGUGCGGUGCCGACCGCCCAGCAGGUAAGGGAAGCUAAAGCUUUACCUCCAGGGACUUCUGCCCAGAAAGCUGAAGAAAUUGCUCUCACGUGAGCUGUAGAGUUACGCAAAGAGAAGAAGAUUAGUAGCUGCACUGAUUCUAAGCAGGUUUCUUGAACGGUGAACGCCUUGAAGCCAUUUGAAAAGAAUAAAGUAUAUUAACGGCACAAGGAAGGCAGAUUAAACGUGAUGCUCCAGUUGCUGGAAGCUAUGCUGUUGCUAGAAAAGUUGCCGUCAUGCGUUGCAAAGGGCCUCAGAAGGGAAACGCUGAUCAGAAACUGGAAAUAAAUUGGCAGACGCCGCUGUAAAACCAGCCACCGAAAGGACAGAGACCGAUACAUAAGCCACGUCUCUGACCCCAGGUGGCUGUGUCCUCCAACCAACGUCAGGAAACUGUAACAAAGAGGAUAAGAAAUUAAUAGGAGAUUUAUAGCCGAAUCAGAAUUAGGGUCCAAAUGAGCCGUGACCGGCGACGGGAGAGUAGUGGCGCCUCGCGGCGCGAGGAGCUGAUGCGCUCUAUCAAGAGCAGACGAAAAGGUAAGACCGAAUUUAGAAACUCUGUGCGAACGAGGCAAUGGGAAACGUGCCUAGAAAACCAUCUUAGCAGUGUAUACAGGGUACAGACAAGAGCAGCUGGACGAGGGAAAUGUACCAGGGCAACCCUGGCAAAGAGAGUUCCCCAAUCUGCCUAGAAUAGGGGGGUGUCGAUACUGGCCGGCACGAACGGCUCCCUUCUCAGGUCGGCCAGAAGCAUUGCCGUGCCGGGGGGCGGCUGCCGGCCUGUGGGCCGGGGCUGCAGCUGUUUGGGGCGCUGCCCCCGCUUUGUUUUCUUAGUGGAGCCCCCCAAUUUUCGGGGGCUUGUGGUACGUGCACGUGUAAAUGACACGAUGUUCCCAGCUGCUUUGUUCUCUGCCUUGUUUUUUCAGGUGUCUGUCCCUGUUUUCUCUUCCCGCUUUUGAAGAGAAGCUGCCAAGUUAGCGUAUGCUGCGAUGAAGUUAUACAAGAUGUAGCCCUCAUGAACCGGUUGACGUGAGGGAAAUGCUUUCUGACCGCCUGCACGGUGAGGGGAAGCGCGCGCUGCCCAGGGGCCGCGUCAGGCGGAGCCAAAGGGACCUGCAGCGGCAACGAGCGGGAGCCGCUCGUAGCUGGAGCGGCCGUUGGCCGCGCCUUCCCUGGGGAGGUGAUUGCGGGGAGCCCGGCCUCUCUCUCCCUCGGGGAUUAAACCCGCGCCUGUCCGCGCCCUUCCCAGGGGCAGUGGCGAGGCGGGGUCUCCCGGCUCUCCCGGGGCGGCCUCGCUGCCAGGGGGCGCGGGCGAGGUGGCAGCGCCUCCUCGGUGCCGGGGGGCGGAGGGGAGCGAGACCUGCCGGCCGGAGCUGCGGGGUGCGCGGCCCCUCGGGCAGGGCGCUCCCGGUCUCUUGGCCGCAGGCUGGGGGCGGCAGACGGGUUCAGGUGCUUUGGCCUGCUUUUUUGCCAGCGUCGCCUUCUCCGCGCCGUGAAGAAAAUCCCGCGCGGUCGAUUCCGCUCGCCGCUCAGGAGAUUCCACGUCUGGGGCCGUGGACUGGGGAAGAACGUUUGCGAGUUGGAGGGCGCUACAAGAUAUUCCACGGGGAAGCCGGAGAAGAGGCAAAUUGGCUGCCAGUGGAGUUGCAUUCCGUGUAGUCUUCAGUUUAGGACGUUCAGCUUGUCCUUCCCUAAAAGGAGCACUCAUUGGUAGGACCGAGAGAGGCUUUUAAGCGCGUGAUCAGAAUUGAAGCCAAAUUGCACUUGACGUUGCUGCUGUGGGUCUUGGCUUUCACUGGUUUCCCCGCGGCUGCCUGGUGUUUGGGAGCUCGGAGUGGGCAUUUUUUUUCCCCCAAGGAGAGGCUGUGCUUAAAAAAGAAUUUGCUUAAAAAAGGCAGACAAGGCGGGUGAGGAUGCAGAGCGGGCCAAUCAGAUCGCUCGGGGGGUUGGAGGGGCGGAGCGCCGAUAGGCGGGGAGAAUGGCAAUUGAUGUGCCUAGGCAGCCAAUGAGGUUGCCGGAGGGGCGGGCGUUGCGGUCUCCGUACUGCGCAUGCCCAAAUUGCGCAGUCCUCAGUCAGGUCCGACGCUGAGGCGGGCACCUGGGGGCGGAGCGCGGGAAGGAGCAUCCAAUAGGAGGACGGCGCGGCGGGGUGGAAAGCAGCCAAUCAGAGCGCGCCGUCUCAAUCCCGUUUGAACAGCUGCCUCCCUGGCAAACGCGUCCGUGGGGUCCCGGGGCGGGUACCGGGAGUUAACGGGGAAACGGGGGUCGGGGCGAGGGAGGGGAGGCUGUGGAGCGCUCAUUUUGGCCUCUCCGUCCCUUUUGCCUCUCUCUCCCUCUCUCUGUGUCUCCUUGUCUUGCUCCCUGUCCCUGUCUUUCUCUGGUAAGCUGACCUGCUCUUUGCCCUUCUUUUUUUGUGGAAUCACAGGCUCCUUCUGCUUGGAAAAGACACGUGCAGUUUUAAAUUUGGGUUUGAAUUCUAGGUUUUUUUUCCCCCAGUAGUGUAAAUGGACGGCACGUUGUCCUGUGGCUCAAUCCCCAUUCUGUUCCGGGGAGCCUUCAGUUUAGGAUGUUCAGGUGAGAAAGUUUGACCUUCCAGAACAGGAUCAGUCACCGGUAGGACCGAGAGAGGCUUUUAAGCGCGUGAUCGGAAUUGAAGCCAAAUGGCACUUGACGUUGCCGCUGUGGGUCUUGGCUUUCACUGGUUUCCCCGCGGCUCCCUGGUGUUGGGGAGCUCGGAGCGGGCACGUUUUUUCCCCGAGGGGAGGCUGUGCUUAAAAAAGAACGUGUUUCCUCAGAGAAGUGCAAGUCCGUGUGCGUAAGACAGACAAAGACCCCAGCCAGCCUAGUCAAGUUCUGGGCGUGCGUCUGUCAGGCGGCUGCUUUACGUUGACGAGCGCACAGCCGUGCAAUGGUAAGGGCGAAGGGCAAGGCAAGACAGAAGGGUUUUUCCUGCUGCGGGUGACCAGCCGCCCCCCUUUUCCGCGUGAAGCAGAGGAGCGCGGUUCGUUGUCGCCUUUUAAACGCGGCGUCGGCGGCAAGCCGCGCGGCCGAAGGACGCUGGGGGGGGGUCCCGGCAGGGCGGCGAGCCGGCGGGUGAGAAUGCAGAGCGGGCCAAUCAGAAGGCGCGGGAGGGCUGGAGGGCUGGAGGAGAGGAGCGCUGGUUGGCUGCCUAGGCACGUCAGUUGCCAUUUUGUCUGCCUAUCAGAUUGCCGGAGGGGCGGGCGUCGAGGGCUGGUACUGCGCAUGCCCCAAACAGGGAGCGCUGAUAGGCGGAGAGAUGCUGAUUGGCGUGCCCCCCCGCAGCCAAUGAUGUUGCCGAAGAGGCGGGCGUUGCGUUGUCCCUACUGCGCAUGCCCCAGUCGCGAGCGCUGAUAGGCGGAGACGGAGGUGAUUGACGUGUCCCGGGGAGCCAACCGGGAUGCGGCAAGGGGCGGGAGCUGCGGUCUCCCCAGUGCGCAUGCCCAAACCGCGAGCGCUGAUAGGUCCGCGGUGUCUCGGUGCCGCGCCGGGGAGCGAACGGGAACGGGGGUCGGGGCGGCUGCGGAGCGCUCGCUGCGGCCGGCGCCCGGGCAUCGGGAGGCGGGCGGCUCAGGGCCGCCCUUCGUGAGGUUUCCCGGAGGCGGCAGAAGGGCGGAGGGGAAGGAGGCGACAGCCGGGGACCUCCCGCCGCGGGCGUGUCCGGGGCGCGGCGGCUGUCGGUGCCCGCGGAGCCCGGCGGGACGGCGGGGGAGCGCGAGGGGAACGGAGCGGCGAAAGAGACGGCAGUGGAUCCGUCUGGCAGUCGGUGGCCCACGGUUGCUCGGCAACAGCAGAAGCGGAUUGAAGGGACCGGCUGCUGGAGGAUGCCGAAGCCUCCCGGGUCAGCGACGGGAGCAGCUUUGCGUAAAGCGAGGGGUACGUGAAGCCGGGCGUGCGGUGCCGACCGCCCAGCAGGUAAGGGAAGCUAAAGCUUUACCUCCAGGGACUUCUGCCCAGAAAGCUGAAGAAAUUGCUCUCGCAUGAGCUGUAGAGUUACGCAAAGAGAAGAAGAUUAGUAGCUGCACUGAUUCUAAGCAGGUUUCUUGAACGGUGCGGGCCCUUGAAGCCAUUUGAAAAGAAUAAAGUGUAUUAACGGCACAAGGGAGGCAGAUUAAACGUGAUGCUCCAGUUGCUGGAAGCUGUGCUAUUGCUAGGAGAGUUGCUGUCACGCGUUGCAACGGGCCUCAGAAGGGAAACGCUGAUCAGGAAACUGGCAAUAAAUUGGCAGGCGCCCCUGUAAAACCAGCCACCGAAAGGACAGAGACCGGUACAGCAGCCGCGUCUCUGAGCCCAGGUGGCCGUGUCCUCCAGCCAACGUCAGGGAACUGUAACAAAGAGGAUAAGCAAUUAAUAGGAGAUUUAUAGCCCGAUCAGAGUUAGGGUCCAAAGGAGCCGUCACCGGCGACGGGAGAGCAGCGGCGCCUCGCGGCGCGAGGAGCUGAAGCGCUCUGUCGAGAUCGGACGAACAGCUUUUGAAGAGAAGCUGCCGAGUUAGCGUACACUGCGGUGAAGUUCUACAAGAUGCAGCCCUCAGGAACCGGUUGCUGUGGGGUUGCUCGUGCGGCCAGCUUUGGUGUCGGUUGUUCCGGCGCUCCGUCGCGGUGUAGAGCCGGCCCCGUACGUAGCGGUGAGGCGUACCGCAGUUCGGUUUGAUUCUCGGAUAGGCCUCGGCUCUGACUGUGCACUCGAACGCCAAAACCUACAGCGGAAGCUGCGGUGGCUUUAGCGUGCAAGGGGCGCGAGCGCCGUGAAGCCGCCCGUGUGGCCGAGCGUCCUGAUCGCGGCGCUGAGCGUUAGACGGACUUGAGCCGCGUGUCAGAAUUGUUUUGUUUUGGAGAGGGCGGGAUAAACUUGGAGCACAACUUGUGAGGGCGGUACGUCGUGGGCAGGUUUUAGUAUUGCCUGUGGAGUGCCGCUAGAAGCGUUCGUAGUUCUUGCUUGUCUCUGUUACAAGAUGAGCCGUGUCGUCCUGCGUGACGCGUAACGGGAGGACGGCGUAGUAGCGGUGCUCUGCAAAAGAGCCUGUUAGGGGGUAUUUUAGCUCGCGGGAAAGGGAUUGGGGAACCACCUGGUGGUAAUGCGAGUAGAGCAGCCCUGGCGGAAUCUGAGGAGCCGAGGCCGUUGUAUAAAUUGGACAAGGAAGGAAAGGCUGCGGGCAAAGCACGGUGCUGCACCCGGCCGCCCCAACGUGGAACUCUAAUGUGGAAUUCCUGUGUUUCAGAGGGGGAGCUGUGACCGCCCCGUGCUCAGCAGACCCCCCAGCCCGGGUGGGGGGAGCAGCGCCGGAGCGGGAGACGCGGCUCCGUCCUCCGUCCCCAGCGUGCCGGGGGGCGGCUGCCGGCCUGUGGGACGUGGCUGCGGCUGUUCGGGGCGCUGCCCCCCAUUUUUGGGCGUUCUGAGCAGCCCCAUGUGCUGUUAAAGGUUGUGGUGGUGCGGGUCAGGGGUCCCCAGGCUGUGCCGAGACCGCAGGACGGCUGCUGGUGGAACAAAGUCAAGGACAACUUCUCAGAGUAAGAACCUCUCUAUUUGUUCUCCUCAGGACACAUCCCUUUGCCUCUGGACCCCUCACAAGCUCACUCGCCACCUUGUUCCCUCAGAAACCCGUUUCCUCCCAGUUCCUCUGCGAUUACCCUGCCUGCCUUUGGGUCCCUGUAGGCUCUUUGGUGGCAUCAUGGUGCCUGUUUGACCUUUUGCCCUGUUAAAUUCCCCUCUUUUCUCUCUUCCCCUCAAAACUUCCCCAGUUGCUCUUGUCACAUCCCAGAGGCCUCAUUUUCCCCUCUUGUCUCCUCUCAGGACCCCCAUCUGUUGGCCCCUGUCGAGGGUUUAGAUUGCGGGGUGACAGUAAAACCCUGGCAGAUGUAUUGUUAACCCCAUCUCCCCCCCACUUCCCCCUUUUGCCCCUCCCUCUCCCCCCUUCCCACUCAGGACAGGCCAUCGGGAGGGAAAGAAGGACAGAGAGAAGAGAGUUGGAAAAACUGGCAAUGUUUUACUAAUGCUAUAUUAAGAGUAGAGAAAAUAAUACAAAACCAAUCCUGAAAGUCUCAGCAACUGCAGAGCCAGCACCUGAAGUCCUGGACUGGACUCUGCAGCCAACCGGAGCUGGAUUCAGUCUCUCAGUAGGCCUCAGUUUGCAGGGACGACUAGCAAGGUCCUCUCCUAAUGUCACCAUAAGCAGAAGGGAUGAAAAGGGGCAAAGAGGACAAGAUCCUCAUGAUCUCCCACUUCUAUAUGAAGUAUUCAUGUGAAUGGGAUGUUAUACACAGUUGGUCAGUUUGUUGGUCACCUGUUUCUUGUUGCUCCUCUUGCAAGAUGUGAAUCUGUCCUUAUCAACAAGUAAGCAUUCCAUUGCAAUGUUUACCAAAACAUGUAUCUGGUUCUCCAGGAAAAUGCAGCUAAUAUGAAGCUUUAGCUGACAGGCAAAUUCACUGAAAGAGAAACUUGUUUUUUAACGAAACCAGGACAGCCCCCACCCCAAUCCCCUCAGGACUCCUCUGAUUCCCAUCUGCUCCUCUCAGGACAGCUGAGCUUGUCUUUUGGGGCCCCUGAGAGCCCCCAUUUACCUUCUUUUACCUACCUUUGUUGUUGUUCCCAGCCUGUCCUGUUUUCCAUCCUUCAGGACUUACUUAUUACUGUUGUGAGAGUCCGAGAGAAAAUGAGGAGUGUCUGUGACUUACAACUGUCGUUGUUGAUCUACAGUCUUUUAGAGACGGAUUCUUGCAGGAUUUAUUUCUGGUUCGUCCUUCACUCCUCCCCAGACCGCAGCGCUGGUCCGAGUUCCCCAGCACACGUGUGUGUGUCCAGCCGGGUACGCCCGGGGGAGCGCGUCAGGGAGGGCAGACGGCUGAAUGGACGCGCUGUCAGCGACUGCGGAACGAGCUGGGGCUGCUUUGACCGUGUCCAGCCUUCUUUCUCCCCCCUCCACCCCUACCCUGCUGCGUUCAGUGCAGUGAAUGACCGUGAGGAGAUGGCUGUGGAUCUGGCUGUUGAAGGGUGUGUGAAGGAGAAGGAGGUGUGUGUAGAGCAGGAUUGGUGGUGGAGGUGAGUGCAGCUGGUUUGGGUGUGGGGCUGUAAAUUCUUUUUGGAGGCUUCCUAGUUUCUGGUGUCACCUGCGGGGUGAAGUGUGACUCUGUGUGCAGGUUUGAAAGGUGCAACGUGCAGAGCUCCCUCAUUUGCCACCAGAUUUCCCAAUCACAGAGACAGCGUCGCUGUGCAGCUGCUAAGGACAGCGCGUCUCGUGCAGAAUAGCAUCCUUUGUGCUCCGUGUGCGUGUUCCUCCUUUGAAAUGAAGUUGGGCCGCCCGGUGUUCCACGUUACGUGUGGUACCUGCUGGGCUGAGUCUCCUCCCCGCGCUCCGGUCGGUUCCGUCGCGCUGCCGCAGCCCCGGCAGCACCGCGGCGUUCGCUGGACGCGUUGUUGGCGGAGCCGGCACCGACAAUCUUGACACGUCGAGGCGCUGCAGUGGGUUUGCCUGGAAAUUCCAAGGUCCUGGUGUUCUAUUAUUUGAACUACUUACUUACUGUAAGACGUUUAGAAUUAAAACUUAAAUAAGAGCAACCAGAAGAGUCUUUGGGAGUGAAUAAUGCCUGUCAUCCACUCUAGCUGUUACUCAAAACUCUGCAGACAGUAAUUAUCCCCAAUUUAUGUAGUAAAAUUUAAAAGAGUGGAAUAUAAAUACUGGAGCGCUAAUUGGAAGUAAUACCUGUAGAGAAAAAAACCUCUAGUUUAUAUCUAUAAUAAAAAAUAAUGUGUGCUAGUUAAUCCGCCUGGUAGUAAUGUAAUGAUAAAAAUGUUAAAGUAAAUAGAUGAAAUUAUAUAGGCAUGAGCAAGAAGUAAAUUUAAUUUCAGCUAUUACUUGGUGAACUAGGCAGCAGUUGUUCCCAAUCUGAAUGCUAGUUUAAAAAACACAUUGUUUGGAAUUCCUUUUAAAUGAUAAAGGCAGAAAACUAAUGUGGAGUCAUUGGUAGCUUCAUUUGAACAACCCUUAUGAAAUAAACUGCAGACACGAAUGACUGCAUAGGAAACAAAGUGAGGAAGCUUUAGAUUUUAAACAGCAUUGGAAAGUGAUCGGGAGUGUUUAGUAUUUAAAUUAUAACAGAGCCAUGAGAUGGGAGGCAACAAAGCUCAGAACCAAACAGAGUCAAAACGUUACAUUUCUUUUUUUAAAGAGAAGUAUAAAGGAACCACUAAGUAGUGGCUGUUUAUAAACAGAGGUAUUAAAAAGUUCCCAUGUAGUAAUGAUUCCCAACAGAACACUAAAAGAUAUUUAGAUGUAAAAUAAUAUUAGAAAUCAGUUAUAACAGUCUGAAUUUAAGCACAGCUUUUUUGGGGUUGUGCAAAAACAUGACCGCUAUUAGUUACCUCUGAGUUAAAAUAAAAAGACAGCAAACUAGAUGUGAUUAACAACAGCUAAUUUUAAUUUUUCAGUGUGCUAUCCAGUUCGGCUUCUCCCUCCAAGGGCGUGGUCUGAGAAAGCCACACCCCCAACUCCCCCGUCCAAGCUCCGCCCCUUCCAGUCUGUGCCCUCCCCGAGGAGCGUGUCCCAUACAGACCCCUCCCCUUUCAUCGCGCCCACCCCCCCCAGCAGCAUGAUGCAUCGAAGCCCCGCCUGCAGCUCCACCCCUAAACUCGGCCCCUGCUAAAUCACGCCCCCUCAGAGCACGUGCUGUACAGAGCCCACCCUACUCUCGGCUCCACCCCUCCCUUCCUAAGCUACGCCCUCUUUGGGCGUGUCCUUCUCCCUACCCCAAGAGGCUCCUCCUCUGGGGGUGUGACACACGGAGGCCCCACCCCCUGCCCAGUUCACCCAGGUGGGCCUCCCAAUGGGCGGGUCCUCCCAGUCCACGCCCCUCAGCACGGAUCCCACCCCCGUGGGUGGGGCUACACCCAGCUGCGCGCGCGGCCCCCCCACCCAUACGUGACCCUAAGUAACCCCAUGGCAGCCCUAUGGCUGCCCCACAGGUACCGCUACAGCAGCCCUGCUCCUGCCCCGCAAGAGCUCCAGACACGCCUCUGCAGAGCCCCCACAGCAGCCACUUCAGUGCCCCACGGCUAUCACCGCAGCCGCCCCAUCCCGCCCCAUGGCCGCCGCUGCGGGACCCCUGGAGCCCCCGGCCCCACAGCCGCCCCGCAGCCCCACAGCGCGCGGUCUCGCGGCCCCGGUGAAGCCACGUGUCGGCCGCGGCCGGAGGAGCCGCCGGUUUCCCGCCCCCACACCCGCCGAUCGCUGCUGCUGCCGCGGCCGGAGGAGCCGCCGGUUUUCCCCCCCACAUCCCCCGAUCGCUGCUGCCGUGGCCGGAGGAGCCGCCGGUUUCCCCCCCACACCCCCCGAUCGCUGCUGCCGCGGCCGGAGGAGCCGCCGGUUUCUCCCCCACAUCCCCCAAUCGCUGCUGUCACGGCCGGAGGAGCCGCCGGUUUCUCCCCCACAUCCCCCGAUCGCUGCUGUCACGGCCGGAGGAGCCGCCGGUUUUCCCCCCCACACCCCCCGAUCGCUGCUGCCGCGGCCGGAGGAGCCGCCGGUUUUCCCCACAACACCCCCCGAUCGCUGCUGCUGCCGCGGCCGGAGGAGCCGCCGGUUUUCCCCCCCACACCCCCCGAUCGCUGCUGCUGCCGCGGCCGGAGGAGCCGCCGGUUUUCCCCCCCACACCCCCCGAUCGCUGCUGCUGCCGCGGCCGGAGGAGCCGCCGGUUUCUCCCCCACAUCCCCCGAUAGCUGCUGUCACGGCCGGAGGAGCCACCGGUUUUCCGCCCAGCGCCGACUCUCCUCCUUCCUCCUCAAUCGCCGCUGCAUGCCGCCACGACGUCUUCUCUUCCGCCAUCUUGUUUCCCCCUUCUGCUCUCAUUCGCUAUUUUAUACCGAGGGAGGGAGGAGACGCUCGCUGAUUGGCUGACAGUGUCAGCCUCGGAAGUCGUCCAUUGGCUCAUCCCCACGAGGGGUUCUCCGAGGGGGUGGGAGAAAGGCGCUGAUUGGUCACCGUGUCGCUGAGGGGAGGAAGGCACUGAUUGGUCACUUUCCGCCGAAGUUCGCCCUCCCAGUAACAGGCGCUGAUUCGCUAGCGCCCCUGAGGUAGAAAAGGCGCUGAUUGGUCGGCGUUUUCCCGCCGACGUUAGCCCACAGCAACGAAGCGCUGAUUGGGCAGCGCGGCUGAAGGGGCGGAUCGUCCAUUGGCAGGAGGGCGGGCGGGGGGCGGGACCGGGCGGGACAACGAGGUGAUAAAUGGGGCGGCGCAGACCGCGCGCAGGACCAGAAAGGCGGAGGCGGCAGCGGCAGCGCGAGCUCAUCGCCCCUUCCCCCCCCCCCCCCGCGCCGCGGGAAACCCGAGAGCGGCAGGAACGGCGGCCGGAAUCAGUUAACGGGGCGGCUCAGGGCGGUAAUUAUCGUGCGGGUGUUAAUUGGGGCUCGGCGGGUUAAUGAGUGACCGGCGGGCUGGGGUGUAUCUGGGGGUUUUGAUCGAAAUUGGGGUUUUAAAGCCACGGGUUUGGGGGGGGGGGGGGCGAUUAAGGCUCCCGGAGUCGCUUUAGCGGCUUAAAUCGUUGUGUUGAACGCGGGAGGAGCCGGUUCGGGGCUUUUCUCAGCAAUGGGGGCUGGUUUGGGUCCAAUUCGGCUUUUAAAAGAUGUUUUUACGUAAUUUUUGGGUGCCGAUUUGUGCCAAAAGGCGCCUUUAAAAUCUGUUUAUUGAGGGUUUAUCAGGAGAAUUAAAGUUUAAAGCUCGGGGAGAUUUGGGGCUUUUCCCUGGGAUUUUGAGUCCAAAUCGGUUUUUUUAGAGCCCAUAUUUAUUUAAAUUAUUAUAUUUAAAGGGUUUAUUUGAGGUUUUAUUUGGAACAUUUUCGGCGGGUUUGAGGCUCCUAAGAUUUAAUUGUUGGUUUAUUAUUUGAUUUAUUAUUUCACUGCGGUGCGGGGCUCCUAAAGACGCUGAGUUGUUUCAAUUAUUUAGCGCUGUGAGGAGCCGUUUUGGGGCCGUUUGCGUCUAAAUCGGCUUUUUAAAAGGUUUAUUUAAUGCGUUUAAAGUUUGAGGGGCCGAUUUGCGACUUUAAAGCUUUUUGAAUCUACUUAUUGAUAAGAAUUUAUACAAUAGAUUAAUAUUUAAAGCCCGGGGGGAGAUUUGGGGCUGUUUCCCAGGAUUGCGAGUCCAAAUGCGUUUUUUUCUGUUAACCGCUUAUUAAUUUAAAUUAUUAUAUUUAAACGGGGCUUUUUGAGGUUUUAUGAGGGUUUUUUUGAGCAUUUUGGGCGGUUCUGAGGCUCCUAAAGCUGGUUAAUUGUUUAAAUUAUUAAUUGUUAAAAUAAUGUAAGUAGUUGUUGAAAUAAGUGUGUAAGUUAUUGUAUUUAAAGCCGGGAGGGGCAUUUCGUUGCUUUUUGGGGGGUUUUAGGGCUGAAUUCACUUUAUUGAACGUGUCUAGAGCUGGGGGUCCCAGAUCUGGUGCUGAUUUGGCCCCAAAAAAAGCUUUAAAAAUCUAUUUAUUUAUAAUUUACUGAAUUAAUAUUUAAGCGGGAACAUGUUCGGCUUUUUUAACCCGCCGCCAUUUUGUCUCCCCCGUCCCGCUCUCCCUCACGCUGAGGGGGCCGAGGAGACGCUCGCUGAUUGGCCGGUGCCGUCUGGCGGGAAAGCCUCCCCCGGCUCAGCCCCGCUCGGCUGUCUCCGAGGGAGAGAAAGGCGCUGAUUGGUCGCAGCCUCUGAGGAGAGAAAGGCGCUGAUUGGUCGCCGCCUCCCUAAACCCACCUCCUGCGCAGAGAACAGCGAAGGCAGCCUGGCCACGCCCCCUCCGGCUGACCGCGCCUGCCCCCCCCCCUCCGGCUGACCGGGCUCACCGCGUGCCCCCCCCAACUCCGGCUGACUGUGCCCCCCCGCCCCCCCCGGCUGACCGCGUGCCCCCCCACUGCACUCCUGCUGACUGUGCGCCCCCCCCACCUCCUCCGGCUGGCCACAUCUCCACUGCACACCAUGGCGGGGAUGGGGCGGGGGGGGAUCACAAGGGUCUAUGGGGCGGUGUGGGGGUCAGGGCGGCUGUGGGGUCAAUGGGGUUGUUGUGGGGUGAAACACCCCUGAAGAGGCUGAACACCCUGCAGGUGAGUGACCCACACAGUGCCCCACAGUGCCCCAUAGCACCUCCACUCUGCCCUAUGGAUCCACAACACUGCCCCACAGCACCCUAUAGCUCCUGCUUGCUAUCCCACAGCACCCCAUGGCUUCUCCACUCUGCCCCAUAUGUCUACAGCAGUGCCACAGAGUACCUCAGAUGUCUUCCACUCUGCCCCAUGGGUGCAGAGUGCUGCCCUACAGCACCCUAUAGCUCCUCUACUCUGCCCCACAGAUCCACAGUGCUGUCCCACAGCACCCUAUAGCUCAUCUGGCCUAUAGACCCACUGUACUGCCCCACAAUGCCCGAUAGCUCCUACACUCUGCCCCAUAGACCCACAACACUGCCUCACAACACCCCAUUGCUCCUGCACUCUGCCCCAUGGAUGCCCAGUACUGCCCCACAGCACCAUAUAGCUCCUGUACUCUGCCCCAUACAUCCACAGGAGUGCCCCACAGCACCCCAUAGUGACUCUACUCUUCCCCAUAGACCCACAGUGCUGCCCCACAGGACUCUACUCUGCCCCUUAGACCCAGAGAGCUGCCCCACAGCAGCCUGUAGGUGCUGCGUUCUGCCCCAUUGGUGCAAAGUGCUGCCCCACAGCGCCCCACACCUCUGUCCACCUGACCACCCUUCCCUCCUGACUGCGCCUGCACUGCCCACUAUGGGUGGGUCACAAGGGUCUAUGGGGUGGUGUGGGGGUCAGGGGGGCUGUGGGGUCAAUGGGGUGGUUGUGGUGUGAAACACCCCUGAAGAGGCUGAGCCCCCUACAGGUGAGUGACCCACACAGUGACCCACAGCAGCCCAUAGCCCCUCUGCCCUAUAGAGUCACUGCACCCCAUAGCUGCUUUUACUCUGCCACAUAAAUGGACAGCACUGCUCCACAGCACCCUGUAUCUCCACUCUGCCCCGUAGACACACAGUGCUGUCCCACAGCACCCCAUAUCUUGUUCACUCUGCCCUAUAGACCCACAGUGUAACCCCACAGCACCCCAUAGUUCCUCUGCCCUAUAGAUCAACAGCACUGUCCCAGAAAACACCAUAGCUUCUUCCCACUAGCCCAUAGGCCAGCAAUUCUGCCCUACAGCACACUAGCUCCUGCACCCUGCCCCAUAGACCCACAGCAGUGCCCCACAGUGCCCCACACAGCUGGUCUGCCCUAUACAUCCACAGCACUGCUCUGCAGCACCAUAUACUUCCAGCACUCUGCCCCAGUGAUGUGUAGCACCCCACAACUUCUGCAUUCCACCCAUAGAUCGACGUUCCUGGGUCCCCUCACCCCACCAGCUGUCCUGGGUUGCAAUGCUGCACGGGGCCCUGUGCACAACAAAAUGAGGACAGCAUGGCUGCUGGGCGCCACCCUGCUUGGAAUCCAAGAUGGCUGGGGGGGGAGGGCUGGCAGCCAUGCUGGCACUGCCGGAGGGGCUGUUGGUCUGCGCCGUGCUCAGGCGGCAGCUCCCGGCUGUAUCGGCUGCUCCUGUGGCCCUGCCCCCUGCCCAUGGGAACAAGGUGGCUGCCCUGAUGGGCGUGGCCAUCUCGGCUGCUGUGUCCCUGCUGGUGGGCGGGGCUAUGGCUGUCAUGGCUGCCAAGCCUGUGCUGGAAGGGUGGGGCUGAGGUGGGUGGGGCCUGCCUAGGGUGGCCAUAUUGGGGUGGGGCCCAAGGUGGGUGGUGGGGCCUGUGGCUCCGUUUACCCCUGACGGCCAUCUUGGAAAAAGGGCAGCGCUGUGCCGCUGCCAUCCUGACGUUGCUCCCCCAGGGCCAUGUUGGGGGACUUUUAACCUGGUUUUGGGGCCAAUUCUCACCCAAUAAAAUUAAAUAAU